rnacentral:rRNA from 1 species
GGGGAAUUUUCCGCAAUGGGCGCAAGCCUGACGGAGCAAUACCGCGUGAGGGAGGAAGGCUCUUGGGUUGUAAACCUCUUUUCUCAGGGAAGAAAAAUGACGGUACUUGAGGAAUAAGCAUCAGCUAACUCCGUGCCAGCAGCCGCGGUAAUACGGAGGAUGCAAGCGUUAUCCGGAAUGAUUGGGCGUAAAGCGUUCGCAGGUGGCAUUGAAAGUCUGCUGUUAAAGAGUCUGGCUCAACCAGAUACAGGCAGUGGAAACUACAAAGCUAGAGUGCGGUAGGGGCAGAGGGAAUUCCUGGUGUAGCGGUGAAAUGCGUAGAGUUCAGGAAGAACACCGGUGGCGAAAGCGCUCUGCUAGGCCGCAACUGACACUGAGGGACGAAAGCUAGGGGAGCGAAUGGGAUUAGAUACCCCAGUAGUA